GCCCAUCAGACUAUGGGCACAUGACCUUUGCAGGGGUCUUUCUCCAAAAGUCAGUUUCCCAUUCUGCCAAAUUUCCCUUUCUCUCUCUAGAAAACAGAAAACCNUUUUUGCCCUAAAACAUUUUCUCUGCCUUCUCUCUAAAUUCCCAGCAAAUUUAACCUUUCAAUCUUUGAAUAGGUGGUGCUCAAAUGUUCACCGCGUCGAAAGCUCCGUAACGGACUGAACAAUUUCUUGUUUCUACCGGUAAGUCAUCUUUUCCCUUUUCUCCAACGUUUCUAGAACUAGGGCAUUGCUAUUUUACUAAAUGCAUGUCACUAGAAGCGUUCUACUUCAAAUUUGUGUUAAUUUUUAGCCUAAAAAGUUAAUUCUAUCGUCAUUGGGCGAUUUAUAGGGUGUCUUUAAAAUUGGCUGUGAGGAGCACUGUUUAGGGCGUCCCUGUCAAGUAAACUGUGAAGUUUUCUAGGUAAGGGGAACUAUAUACUCUUUCUAUGAUUUGUAUGAAUUGUGCGUGUGUUAGAAUCUUUGACAUUUUACUGCGUAAUGACUGAAAUUGGGUUUUGGAGUGAUAUUGUGUUGUAUGUUUCUGUAUGGGCAACGUAUUCUUUUUUUUUUUUUUCUUUUUUUUUUGGUUCUGUGAAUGCGGUAAAAUAAGCUACUGCAAGGAGGGGUUUCGUUAUUGAGAAACAUAAGAGAAGAAGGGAGUGCUGGACGGUGGGUUAUUUUCUAUUGGAAAGUGUUGGAAAGUUAAAAAAAAGUGAAUUAGUAUUUUUGGAUGGGUCCCGCGGUGGAGUGUGAGUGAAACUUUAAAAGAAAUGUUUUGAACUAGGUGCAGAGGAUAAAGAUUGGUCCCUUAUCCUUUUAUAUAUAUAUAUAUAUAUAUAUAUAUAUAUAUAUAUAUAUAUAUAAUGAUAUAUAUGUGUAUAAUUGAAAGCAUAGGUGUGUGUGACUAAUGUGCACGUGAAUUUUUCCUGGACAAACAAAAAGUUCAGAGUUAAUUUGCUGUGAUCCUUUUAUAUUAUUAUAUAAUAAUGUAAUUUCAUAUGAAUUAGUAUGUAAUAGGUUUACAGUGGUAUAGAAACAUUAAUAAGCUAAUUUAGUUUUACGUAAUAUCACAGUAUGAUGUAUCAAUAUAAUAAUCUGUAAGUUUGACAUAUAUUGGAUUAUAUAAAAUAAAAUUUUAUUAUUAUGUAUAUAUUAUAUAAAUCAUAAUUUUAAGGGAUGAUACAAAUGAUCUUUAUAUUUAAUUUGAAGAAUUAUUAGGUGUAUAAAAUAAAUAAUACGAGUUAGACAGUUAUACAUAUCCGGAUGAGUCGUGUUGAGUAUCUGCAUGCAUGGUUUGAUUGAAUUGCUUUGCUUGUUCUUUAUAUUUGUAGUUAAGCAUGAUAAUUCUCUUUGAUUGCACUAUGUUAUACUUCUUGUAUGUCUAGCUCACCCUUACUUUUGUGUUGUAUGUUGCUUGGGUAUGCUUUCUAUUGCGAUGAUCAUCUUUUUGGAUGAGAGCAGAUAUGGUUGAGGAGGUCCUCUUGGAGCAAGUACUGGAGGACGCUGAUGCUGCUGCUUAGCUCUCUUUAAGAUUUCAUUUAUUUAGCUUAUGUUAUUUUGAAAUACUUAUUAGAUUAUUUUGAAAUACUUUACAAUUAUUAAAGUUUUAAACUAGGCCAUUAUGGAUGACUGUAAUCCUCUAAUUAAUCGUACUUUAUACUCUAACUGUUCUCUUUAUUUGGAUGAUGACAUCUCUAUUAUAUGAUUAGCAUUACUAUAAUUUGGGGAUGUCACAAUUCUAUUGGAAGAUGUUCAGCUUAUUUUUAUUUUCAGUAAAAAUAAA
rnacentral:lncRNA from 1 species